rnacentral:tRNA from 1 species
AGGACUUUAAGUUAAAUAAAACUUAUAACCUUCAAAGUUAGAAAUAUCUAAGAAAAGGUAAGUCUUA